UACGAAGGGGGCUAGCGUUGUUCGGAUUUACUGGGCGUAAAGCGCACGUAGGCGGAUUGUUAAGUCAGGGGUGAAAUCCCGGAGCUCAACUCCGGAACUGCCUUUGAUACUGAGAAUCUUGAGUACGGGAGAGGUGAGUGGAACUGCGAGUGUAGAGGUGAAAUUCGUAGAUAUUCGCAAGAACACCAGUGGCGAAGGCGGCUCACUGGCCCGUAACUGACGCUGAGGCACGAAAGCGUGGGGAGCAAACAGGG
rnacentral:rRNA from 1 species